AUGGAAGAUGGUGUAUGGAAAACCCUUCCGAGAAGGCAAUAUGUGGGUUCCAAGGCAGUAUCCCAAGUAUACUGGAAGCCUAGGGAUCCCCACUUUUGGGCGGGUCAAAUGGCUACGAAGAAAAUUUUCUUCCCUUAUGGAUCCCUCUCGAUUAAGGACGACUCAGAAAUUAGAUUCUGGGAGGACAAGUGGCUAGGAAAUGCCACACUCCAGAAACAAUAUCCAGCUCUAUACAACAUUGUGCGUCACAAGGGUGAUACUAUCGCCACGGUAAUGCAAUUAUUUCCGCCAAAUAUGACGUUCAAAAGAGAUUUAAUUGGACCCAGACUCCAAUCGUGGUACAUCAUGCUCCGGCGGUUGUCCACGGUGCAAUUGUCACAACGGUUAUUAUCAAUUUCGAUGGAAUCUACAUGA
rnacentral:rRNA from 1 species